GUUUGAUUCAAUGUUCUAGUUCAAACUGAUCCAGUUUUGACACAUUUGAAAGUCAUGUUCUCAUAUUUCCCUCUCCUGUAGGUGAAAAUUUCUAUUGCAUGUAUGGAAGGACAGCAGAAAUUUGUUAGCACAGCUGAGCACAUAUUUGGCAAGAAUGUCAUGUUGGAUGACACACAUGGCUAUUUUGUGAUUGGUGGAGGUAAAUUCAUACGAGGCAUUGGAGGAUAUUAUGGACCAGCUACAUACUAUCAUAUACAGGGGCUCCCAGCUGAUCAGGUGGAGAUUCACCUUCCUCUUGUAAAAUCAAAAGUGAAUAUAACCAGAUGGUUCCAGUCUGGUGAAAAUUUUAAAUCAGGGCUUUUUCUGUCUGUAGCAGAUCACUAGCUCACUGUGAAGAGACUGUCAGGUCAGUAUCACAGGUGUCCACUAGCUGGCACUAGAGAUUAAAUUAUGUAUUUUUACCAUUAUCUACUGAUACUUAAAAACAUCAAUGUUGACACCCAGACAGCUGUUUGCACACAAAGCUGCUACUGAAUCACAGUACAGUCAGCUCAACUGAGCAGUGUAUGUUCUUCAAAUCGCCGACAAAUCCUUACAGACACCGAGUUGCACAGUUGACCAAACUACUGGCACAGAAAUAUGGUAAGAUUGUAUUUAAAUGGUGUAUUCAUGGGUGUUUGCAUUAUGUAGAGUCGACUAUACUAUUUAAAAGUUUGGGGUCAGUAAGUUUUUAUGUAUGCAUGUGUGUGUAUAUAUGUACUGUAUGUGUGUGUGUGUACGUAUAUAUAUAUGCACCUGUUUUGAAGGCAGGGUGAAUGGUAUGAUCUAGCUCUACAUAAGAUCAGUACAGCUCGCAGUCUGGAUGUUAUAAUCAGGAUGAUACCUUUCCUGCUCCAGUCUGGCUGUAUGGGAGACAAUAGAGCAAUACAUCUGGCCUCUGUGCUGUGCAGCAUUGGAUUCGGAGUCAAGAGACAGCUGUACAAGGGGUCCAUUCCCAUUGUCACUGCUCUGGGCUGGUACUAUGAGCAGUAUGAGAAGGAUUACGAGAAGGCCACACAUCUGUGGGAAGAAGCUGAUGCCAAAUGUCACCCUGAAGCUGCCAUGAAUUUGCGAGUUUUCUACUCUCAGGGCCUCUAUCCUGGACAACUUGCCGACCAGGUAAACACUCUGCUCAACAUGCUUAUGUGCUUCAAACCUCUAAUUAAUCUAAUAAAGAGUUUCUUUAAGUAUGACUUAGCUUGCUCAUCAGUUCAUCAUGUAUGUAUGUGUGUGUGCUUUAUCAACCCUUCACAAGCAUUAUGGAACUUAUCAUAAUUGGCUCAAAACACUGUG
ensembl:lncRNA